rnacentral:rRNA from 1 species
GGGAAACUGGGAAUAAUGCCUUAUAAGAUACGUUUGUCGCAUGGCAUUUGUAUUAAACGCUCCGGCGCCAUAGGAUGGACCCGCGUCCCAUUAGCUAGUUGGUGAGAUAACAGCUCACCAAGGCCACGAUGGGUAACCGGUCUGAGAGGGCGAACGGUCACACUGGAACUGAGACACGGUCCAGACUCCUACGGGAGGCAGCAGUGGGGAAUAUUGCGCAAUGGGGGCAACCCUGACGCAGCAAUACCGCGUGAGUGAAGAAGGUUUUCGGAUCGUAAAGCUCUGUUAUUGGGGAAGAAAAAAAGACGGUACCCAAGAAGAAAGUUCCGGCUAACUACGUGCCAGCAGCCGCGGUAAUACGUAGGGAACAAGCGUUGUCCGGAUUUACUGGGCGUAAAGGGCACGCAGGCGGUUUUUUAAGUCAGAUGUGAAGGGCCACAGCUCAACUGUGGACAUGCAUUUGAAACUGAAAGACUUGAGUAUUGGAGAGGCAAGUGGAAUUCCUAGUGUAGCGGUGAAAUGCGUAGAUAUUAGGAGGAACACCGGUGGCGAAGGCGGCUUGCUGGACAAAUACUGACG